rnacentral:lncRNA from 1 species
CAGUGUACAGCUUGAUAAAUGCUUUGAUGAAUACAAUCAGUCUUGUUACUAUUGCAAUAUAGGGAUUGUGGGAAAAAAAUAAAACAUGCGAAUACGUUCCUUACGAAACGGUCCCCUACGAAACAAGUAUGGGAGAAAAAACGUUUCGUAGUGGACACUACCACUACCAUGUAGUCUUUUUUUAAUCUUUUUUCAAUUAUAUUCGUGCAAAACAAAUAACAAGGGUUAGUUUCAUGUAAUUUUUAUUAUGUUUUUAUUAACAUAUAAUAGGGUUGAUGUCAACUACGAAACUUUUUGUCCACUACGAAACGGUUUUGUCCACUACGAAACGCAUCAAAAUGUCCACUACGUAACAUGAGUUGAACCUUCAUAUGUGAAGUACUGUCUAAUCUUUAUCGAUAAA